rnacentral:rRNA from 1 species
UGAGGAAUAUUGGUCAAUGGGCGCGAGCCUGAACCAGCCAUCCCGCGUGCAGGAAGACGGCCCUAUGGGUUGUAAACUGCUUUUUCGCAUGAAGAACAUCCCGGACGUGUCUGGGACUGACGGUAAUGCGUGAAUAAGCACCGGCUAACUCCGUGCCAGCAGCCGCGGUAAUACGGAGGGUGCAAGCGUUAUCCGGAUUUAUUGGGUUUAAAGGGUGCGUAGGCGGCAUUUUAAGUCAGUGGUGAAAUCCUGCAGCUCAACUGUAGAACAGCCAUUGAAACUGAAGUACUUGAGUAAUCUUGAGGUAGGCGGAAUGUGUAGUGUAGCGGUGAAAUGCUUAGAUAUUACACAGAACACCGAUUGCGAAGGCAGCUUACUAAGGAUUUACUGACGCUGAUGCACGAAAGCGUGGGGAUCAAACAGG